rnacentral:rRNA from 1 species
UGAGGAACAUGACCUUCGGCGGGGGAGUAGCCGGCCCAACGGCCGGGUAAUACCGCGUACGACCACUUUGGGACAUCCCUAGGUGGUGAAAGCAGCAAUGCGCCGAUGGAGUGCCUCGCGGCCUAUCAGCUAGUUGGUGAGGUAACGGCUCACCAAGGCGACGACGGGUAGCCGGCCUGAGAGGGUGAUCGGCCACAUUGGAACUGAGACACGGACCAGACUCCUACGGGAGCAG